AGUCUAACAGCAUCGCUCCUGACUGAAGGCAGAACUUGCUCCUGCUCCCCAGCUGCAUGGAUGACUUUCCUGAGGCACUUCCUAUGGGCGGCAAGUACUAAAGACGGUCGGGACGCUGGUCAGGAAGAGGAUGCCGUGAUUGUGAAAAUUCCUGGAGCAGGAGACAAAGUUUCAUUAAUAUCUCUUCUCGCUCUUGUGGAGCGGUCCUCAUGCGUUGGGCCUGUGACUUCACGAAGCUGCUUUCUUCCACCUGGACCCUGAUACAGUACCCAGAGAAUGCCAUGAUUAUAGCCCGGUGGGCUCUUCUUGCCGACUGCCCUGAGAAAACCAAGGCACUGAGAACAACAGCUUUACCCAGAAAUACCCACCAGUAAAGUUUUUAUCAGAAAAGGAUCGGAAAAGAAUUUUGAUAACAGGAGGCGCAGGGUUCGUGGGCUCCCAUCUAACUGACAAACUCAUGAUGGACGGCCACGAGGUGACCGUGGUGGACAAUUUCUUCACGGGCAGGAAGAGAAACGUGGAGCACUGGAUCGGACAUGAGAACUUCGAGUUGAUUAACCACGACGUGGUGGAGCCCCUCUACAUCGAGG
rnacentral:lncRNA from 10 species